CUCGUGGGAAGUCCUCGUGUUGCACCCC
rnacentral:rRNA from 1 species